UACGAACCGUCCAAACGUUACUCGGAAUCACUGGGCUUAAAGGGUGCGUAGGCCGCGCGGAGGGUGGGAUGUGAAAUCCCCCGGCUCAACCGGGGAAUAGCGUCCCAAACCGCCGUGCUCGAGGGAGACAGAGGUGAGCGGAACUGAUGGUGGAGCGGUGAAAUGCGUUGAUAUCAUCAGGAACACCAGUGGCGAAAGCGGCUCACUGGGUCUUUCCUAACGCUGAGGCACGAAAGCUAGGGGAGCGAACGGG
rnacentral:rRNA from 3 species